rnacentral:lncRNA from 1 species
AACCAUUUGCACAAAUGCCGCCAGACUAAGUAAGGUGAAGGUGCUACCAUCCUCUCUCAUCCCAGAUGGUGUUUUCUCUGUGCAGUGAGAUGAGCAGCAGCUUGCUAUCCAGUCGCCGACCAUCCUCUCUCAUCCCAGAUGGUGUUUUCUCUGUGCAGUGAGAUAAGCAGCAGCUUGCUAUCCAGUCGCUGACCUAUGGUCUAAAAUCAGGUAUUACUUAUGUCCAACGGCAAGGUUGGCUUACGCAUUGCACAAAUAUAACACUGGUCCGCACGGGUCAAUUUGCCUACAAACUAAUGAUUCUGCCUGAGCUAAUUUUUCGCUCCGAGUCCAAACAUGACCUCAAGUUUGCUGGGUUAGAUCGAUUUUCCCUAAACAAUUUGAAUUUUCCUUAAAAAUCAAGCUUCUCUGGGUAAAAUCGGAAUUUUCCUUGGAAAUCAAGCUUUUCCAGAUAAAAGUCAAAUUUUUUGGAAAAUCUGCACAGCGAAGAAGCACU